GAUGAACGCUGGCUACAGGCUUAACACAUGCAAGUCGAGGGGAAACGGCAUUGAGUGCUUGCACUGAAUGGACGUCGACCGGCGCACGGGUGAGUAACGCGUAUCCAACCUUCCCGUUACUGCGGGAUAACCUGCCGAAAGGCAGACUAAUACCGCAUGUUCUUCGAUGACGGCAACAGAUUCGAAGCAAAGAUUCAUCGGUAACGGAGGGGGAUGCGUCUGAUUAGCUUGUUGGCGGGGCAACGGCCCACCAAGGCGACGAUCAGUAGGGGUUCUGAGAGGAAGGUCCCCCACAUUGGAACUGAGACACGGUCCAAACUCCUACGGGAGGCAGCAGUGAGGAAUAUUGGUCAAUGGGCGGAAGCCUGAACCAGCCAAGUAGCGUGCAGGAGGACGGCCCUACGGGUUGUAAACUGCCUUUAUGCGGGGAUAAAGUGAGGGACGUGUCCCUUUUUGCAGGUACCGCAUGAAUAAGGACCGGCUAAUUCCGUGCCAGCAGCCGCGGUAAUUCGGAAGGUCCGGGCGUUAUCCGGAUUUAUUGGGUUUAAAGGGAGCGUAGGCCGGGGAUUAAGUGUGUUGUGAAAUGUAGGCGCCCAACGUCUGACUUGCAGCGCAUACUGGUUCCCUUGAGUACGCGCAACGCCGGCGGAAUUCGUCGUGUAGCGGUGAAAUGCUUAGAUAUGACGAAGAACCCCGAUUGCGAAGGCAGCCGGCGGGAGCGCAACUGACGCUGAGGCUCGAAAGCGUGGGGAGCAAACAGGAUUAGAUACCCUGGUAGUCCACGCCGUAAACGAUGAGUGCUAGGUGUUAGACCCU
rnacentral:rRNA from 1 species